GACGAACGCUGGCGGCGUGCUUAACACAUGCAAGUCGAACGGAAAGGCCCUGCUUUUGUGGGGUGCUCGAGUGGCGAACGGGUGAGUAACACGUGAGUAACCUGCCCUUGACUUUGGGAUAACUUCAGGAAACUGGGGCUAAUACCGGAUAGGAGCUCCUGCUGCAUGGUGGGGGUUGGAAAGUUUCGGCGGUUGGGGAUGGACUCGCGGCUUAUCAGCUUGUUGGUGGGGUAGUGGCUUACCAAGGCUUUGACGGGUAGCCGGCCUGAGAGGGUGACCGGCCACAUUGGGACUGAGAUACGGCCCAGACUCCUACGGGAGGCAGCAGUGGGGAAUAUUGCACAAUGGGCGGAAGCCUGAUGCAGCAACGCCGCGUGCGGGAUGACGGCCUUCGGGUUGUAAACCGCUUUCGCCUGUGACGAAGCGUGAGUGACGGUAAUGGGUAAAGAAGCACCGGCUAACUACGUGCCAGCAGCCGCGGUGAUACGUAGGGUGCGAGCGUUGUCCGGAUUUAUUGGGCGUAAAGGGCUCGUAGGUGGUUGAUCGCGUCGGAAGUGUAAUCUUGGGGCUUAACCCUGAGCGUGCUUUCGAUACGGGUUGACUUGAGGAAGGUAGGGGAGAAUGGAAUUCCUGGUGGAGCGGUGGAAUGCGCAGAUAUCAGGAGGCACACCAGUGGCGAAGGCGGUUCUCUGGGCCUUUCCUGACGCUGAGGAGCGAAAGCGUGGGGAGCGAACAGGCUUAGAUACCCUGGUAGUCCACGCUGUAAACGGUGGGUACUAGGUGUGGGGUCCAUUCCACGGGUUCCGUGCCGUAGCUAACGCUUUAAGUACCCCGCCUGGGGAGUACGGCCGCAAGGCUAAAACUCAAAGGAAUUGACGGGGCCCCGCACAAGCGGCGGAGCAUGCGGAUUAAUUCGAUGCAACGCGUAGAACCUUACCUGGGUUUGACAUGGAUCGGGAGUGCUCAGAGAUGGGUGUGCCUCUUUUGGGGUCGGUUCACAGGUGGUGCAUGGCUGUCGUCAGCUCGUGUCGUGAGAUGUUGGGUUAAGUCCCGCAACGAGCGCAACCCUUGUUCACUGUUGCCAGCACGUUAUGGUGGGGACUCAGUGGAGACCGCCGGGGUCAACUCGGAGGAAGGUGGGGAUGACGUCAAGUCAUCAUGCCCCUUAUGUCCAGGGCUUCACGCAUGCUACAAUGGCUGGUACAGAGAGUGGCGAGCCUGUGAGGGUGAGCGAAUCUCGGAAAGCCGGUCUCAGUUCGGAUUGGGGUCUGCAACUCGACCUCAUGAAGUCGGAGUCGCUAGUAAUCGCAGAUCAGCAACGCUGCGGUGAAUACGUUCCCGGG
rnacentral:rRNA from 1 species